CACGUAGGGGGCGAGCGUUGUUCGGAAUUACUGGGCGUAAAGGGCGCGUAGGCGGCCUUCUAAGUCGAACGUGAAAUCCCCGGGCUCAACCCGGGAACUGCGUCCGAGACUGAAAGGCUUGAAUCCGGGAGAGGGAUGUGGAAUUCCAGGUGUAGCGGUGAAAUGCGUAGAUAUCUGGAGGAACAUCGGUGGCGAAGGCGGCAUCCUGGACCGGUAUUGACGCUGAGGCGCGAAAGCCAGGGGAGCAAACGGG
rnacentral:rRNA from 1 species